UACUGCUUCCGACCCAUCCCUAAGGCUUGUUAUGCUAUUAAACAAAGCUAUUAGGUUGGAGUUGAUAAAAUUUGUUCUUGACAAAUCCAUGUUGACUGUUACUCAUCACCUUAUUAU